rnacentral:rRNA from 1 species
AACGAACGCUGGCGGCAUGCCUAACACAUGCAAGUCGAACGAACCAAGGCUUCGGCCUGAAGUUUAGUGGCGCACGGGUGCGUAACGCGUGGGAAUCUGCCCUUGGGUUCGGAAUAACUCAGAGAAAUUUGAGCUAAUACCGGAUGAUGACGAAAGUCCAAAGAUUUAUCGCCCGGGGAUGAGCCCGCGUAAGAUUAGCUUGUUGGUGAGGUAAAGGCUCACCAAGGCGACGAUCUUUAGCUGGUCUGAGAGGAUGAUCAGCCACACUGGGACUGAGACACGGCCCAGACUCCUACGGGAGGCAGCAGCGGGGAAUAUUGGACAAUGGGCGAAAGCCUGAUCCAGCAAUGCCGCGUGAGUGAUGAAGGCCUUAGGGUUGUAAAGCUCUUUUACCAGGGAUGAUAAUGACAGUACCUGGAGAAUAAGCUCCGGCUAACUCCGUG